UACGUAGGUGGCAAGCGUUGUCCGGAUUUACUGGGCGUAAAGAGCGCGCAGGCGGUCGUUCAAGUCGCGUGUGAAAGCCCCCGGCUCAACUGGGGAGGGUCACGCGAUACUGAUCGACUCGAAGGCAGGAGAGGGUAGUGGAAUUCCCGGUGUAGUGGUGAAAUGCGCAGAUAUCAGGAGGAACACCGGUGGCGAAGGCGGAUCUCUGGGCCAUUACUGACGCUGAGGAGCGAAAGCGUGGGGAGCGAACAGG
rnacentral:rRNA from 1 species